AGUAGCUGGAACUGGAACAU
rnacentral:siRNA from 1 species